UGGGGAAUAUUGCGCAAUGGGCGAAAGCCUGACGCAGCGACGCCGUGUGAGGGAAGAAGGCUUUCGGGUCGUAAACCUCUGUCGGGAGGGAAGAACCCCCGAGGAGUCGAACAGGCUCUUGGGCUGACGGUACCUCCGAAGGAAGCACCGGCUAACUCCGUGCCAGCAGCCGCGGUAAUACGGAGGGUGCGAGCGUUAAUCGGAAUCACUGGGCGUAAAGCGCACGUAGGCGGUGCCGUAAGUCGGAUGUGAAAGCCCUCGGCUCAACCGGGGAACUGCAUUCGAUACUGCGGUGCUUGAGUGCCGGAGAGGGUGGCGGAAUUCCAGGUGUAGGAGUGAAAUCCGUAGAUAUCUGGAGGAACACCAGUGGCGAAGGCGGCCACCUGGCCGGCAACUGACGCUGAGGUGCGAAAGCGUGGGGAUCGAAAACAGGAUUAGAUACCCUGGUAGUCCACGCUGUAAAGCGAUGGAUACUAGGUGUCAGGGGGUUUACCCUCGGUGCCGCAGUUAACGCGUUAAGUAUCCCGCCUGGGGAGUACGGUCGCAAGGCUGAAACUUAAAGGAAUUGACGGGGUCAUAGCUGUUU
rnacentral:rRNA from 1 species